GACGAACGCUGGCGGCGUGCCUAAUACAUGCAAGUUGAGCGCUGAAGGUUGGUACUUGUACCAACUGGAUGAGCAGCGAACGGGUGAGUAACGCGUGGGGAAUCUGCCUUUGAGCGGGGGACAACAUUUGGAAACGAAUGCUAAUACCGCAUAAAAACUUUAAACACAAGUUUUAAGUUUGAAAGAUGCAAUUGCAUCACUCAAAGAUGAUCCCGCGUUGUAUUAGCUAGUUGGUGAGGUAAAGGCUCACCAAGGCGAUGAUACAUAGCCGACCUGAGAGGGUGAUAGGCCACAUUGGGACUGAGGCACGGCCCAAACUCCUACGGGAGGCAGCAGUAGGGAAUCGUCGGCAAUGGACGAAAGUCUGACCGAGCAACGCCGCGUGAGUGAAGAAGGUUUUCGGAUCGUAAAACUCUGUUGGUAGAGAAGAACGUUGGUGAGAGUGGAAAGCUCAUCAAGUGACGGUAACUACCCAGAAAGGGACGGCUAACUACGUG
rnacentral:rRNA from 1 species